AGCUGGUUUGGUAGAUGGAGAAUUACAGCAAGUUACCCAGGACAAUUUCUUUCCAAGACUCCUUAACAAGGCAAUCCUAUGAGUGUCUACCCAGAUGCAAGUCCUACUAAGAUCAUUGGGACUUACUUACAGGAGGUUUGGCCAGAUUUGAGGGGAUAUUUCAGCUGAACUCUAGAAAUGAAGCAAAAGGAAGGGCCAAGUGAUUCAGACUCACCAUGGACUCUUCAAAGAAAACAGAACCAAUCUGUCCAACAGGAGAAGUGAAGGAAAUCAUAAAAACAUUUAUGAAGCAUAAAAAUAAUAAAAACAUUUAUGAAGCUAGCUCAAAGUUAUGCAACUGUUAGUGGCUUAAAAUGCAGCAAGGUCGUCCCUCUACCUUCGUCCCCACUAGGUUUCAGGUCAUGUUACUAUACACACCAAUUACCUGUUUGGUUUCCACGCACAUGCAGCAUCCCCAACUCUGAUUCAUGAUGCUGUCAUCUGCCCAUGAGCCAUGGUUGUGUCAAAUGUGCACACCUCAGGUUGACUGUGAAGUGAUUGCAGCUUACGCGUUCAAUUCAAAUGGAAGACGGAUUCCUGGAUAGUUGUGGUUCACGGGCACAUAUAGAAGCAAGAUGUGCAAAAUCAUCGAGCAUAUUCGAACACAGAAAUAAUUGAAUAACCUGAGUAAAUUUCCUUUGAGAGAUUACAGCAAAUGCCUUCAUCUGUUUCAUAUUGGAAGUAUAGCAACAUUCCCUAUAAUUUGAAACAUUAUAUUUGUGGAGGGGGUAAUUAAUCUGCUGUGAUUUCCUACCCUUGCUGUAUACAUAAAGGCUGGGAGUUUUGUCUUGACCCCAAACAUGGUAGCUGAACUGUGUAGAGUGCAAAAACUAGUGCAAUCUACCAAGUGCACAUUUUCUUGAACUUCUGUCACCUUUCCAACCCACAGAGAGGCCAUCACCACUUGAAACCAUCCCUAAAAGAAAUAAAUGACAUCUGCCACAAUGGAGAAAUUGGGUAAAACACAUUAUAUGAUUCCCCCAUUAAUAAAUUACGCAAUUCCACUUCCUUUUUUAAAACUGAGGCUCAUUGUUCCCAGAAACUGCCCUGGUGAUUUCACCACCUUCUGAUAUUCAGGUCAUGUGGUUGUGUUUUUUAAAAGGCAGUUGUGAAUGGCCA